AUGAACGCUGGCGGCGUGCCUAAUACAUGCAAGUCGAGCGAACAGACGAGGAGCUUGCUCCUCUGACGUUAGCGGCGGACGGGUGAGUAACACGUGGAUAACCUACCUAUAAGGCUGGGAUAACUUCGGGAAACCGGAGCUAAUACCGGAUAAUAUAUUGAACCGCAUGGUUCAAUAGUGAAAGACGGUUUUGCUGUCACUUAUAGAUGGAUCCGCGCCGCAUUAGCUAGUUGGUAAGGUAACGGCUUACCAAGGCAACGAUGCGUAGCCGACCUGAGAGGGUGAUCGGCCACACUGGAACUGAGACACGGUCCAGACUCCUACGGGAGGCAGCAGUAGGGAAUCUUCCGCAAUGGGCGAAAGCUUGACGGAGCAACGCCGCGUGAGUGAUGAAGGUCUUCGGAUCGUAAAACUCUGUUAUUAGGGAAGAACAAAUGUGUAAGUAACUAUGCACGUCUUGACGGUACCUAAUCAGAAAGCCACGGCUAACUACGUG
rnacentral:rRNA from 1 species